rnacentral:lncRNA from 1 species
GUGGUGCGGACACCAGAGCCAUCAAAAAUCGACAACAUGAUUUAAGUUCGAUUUGGAUCGAAGAAGCCUCAUUAAAUUGAUUCUACUUCAAUUAUUUAUUUUCAGUCAAUAAAUUUUAAUGCAUUUGGCUUUGGGUCCAUAGGGCCAUACUUGGAUUUGUCCACGUCACCUUUGGAGCCACCACUCUCCACAUGCCAAGAGAAGAAAUAUGCAUGCCAGCAUGUGCCGUGCUCAUGCCAAUUUGUGUCAAGCAUCAAGCACCCACAUGGAGUUUCAUUUCUUCCUUAGAAUUCCUUAAGAGUUCUUGGCUACUUACUUAUUUUGUUGAAGGCUGAUUUCUUUUCUAUGAUAGAUUAUAAUGCUUUACUUUUUUAUGGAGGGUUGAUUUCUUCCUUGUAAAGAUAAGAGAUUCCUAAAAAACAGGACCCUUAGAGUCCUAUAUAAAUCCAUGUAUCUUUCAUGAAAAAAGACAAUGAAUGAUUUUACAAACUCCACAAAUACUUAUGUCAAUCGCUCCGAGAGGGAGAGGGUGUGAGACCCAAAAUCGCCCCACAAGAGGAGGGUGUGAGGCCCACUUUCUAUCCUAUUCCUUCUACUUAAGAUUCAGUGUUCCUGCGACUCUGAUCGACUCCACCAUCUACCCACGCAAGCCUAUUCCAUCAAGAGAAGAUCUGUCUCCUCCAGAAUUUUUAUCUAUCGUGCUGAGAGAAUGAGUGAUUUCUUAUUCUACAGAUCAUAUGCUGUCAAGGACCUUCGUUCCUUAACAGUUGAUCUUUGAUUUUUUUUUAAUCCGAUGUUGGUAAAGACCUAGUUCUUUAUCGAUGGAUCUGUUUGGUUAAAAGAUUAAGAGCCCUAAUCAGAGUAGUUUCAUAACUACCACGAUCUGGAUUCUUAUCAUCUUCUUGGAUUUUCUCACAGGUUUAAUAUUUU